UACGUAGGGUGCGAGCGUUAAUCGGAAUUACUGGGCGUAAAGGGUGCGCAGGCGGCGUCGCAAGUCAGGCGUGAAAUCCCCGGGCUUAACCUGGGAACUGCACUUGAAACUACGAUGCUGGAGUAUGGCAGAGGGAGGUGGAAUUCCACGUGUAGCGGUGAAAUGCGUAGAGAUCGGGAGGAACACCCGUGGCGAAGGCGGCCAUCUGGACCAGUACUGACGCUGAGGCACGAAAGCGUGGGGAGCGAACAGG
rnacentral:rRNA from 1 species